AUUUCACCUGUCAAAUCAUGGCUGAGUCGAUGCUUCCUUUGAAUGGAAUGAUUGAAAUUGCUUGCAUGUCAGUUGUUUGUACUCCUGCUGCCGCUUGUUAUCUACUGCAACAGGAUGGGGAUGAGUUGUGUGUGACCAUUAAGAAUUCAUAUUCGUGAUGUCGGUGCAAGGAAGCAAUAACCAAGCAGAAAUCAAGCAGGAAUAUUAUGCGAAUGACACUAGUUCUUCUUAUUUUGGUGUUUCUCCACUCUUGCCUGAUAUAACUUGCAAAUGGACUGCCAUUUGUUCUCUAUUGGCAUUUUGGUCACUAAAGUACAAGUUAGAUAGAUUGACUCAUUCAUGUGGAUGACGAAGCUCUAAGGGGUUCUUCAUUUGAGACCAAAUUUUUUAUAAGUGAUUUUGUUGCGGAAUAGGUUCAAGGGUGACAAGUGAUCUUCUUGAUGUUAUACUGGCUUGUUAAAUGUCACAUUUUAUUAGUGUUCGGGCCAAAACUUGUGAGAUGGUAGUAUGGGUGAUUUGUUAUCAAAUCUCUCAAUAAAAUUUGGCAUACCAUUUUAAGUUUUCUUAGUUUCCCUUUCAUUUCUCUUGUUUGUGACAACCUUUUUUGUUUCAUUAUUAUUCUUAUAAAGACCUUUUGGUAGUAAAUUAGAUCACUGUUGUCCUGAUCUUUGCUGGGAUGGACAGUAAACAUCAGAUCAAUCACUUGCAAGAGUUUUGGAAGAAUAUGACCUUAGGGCAUCUUGCGGAGAGUAAGUUCUUUUAGAUAAUCUAAGCAAGUGAAGGUAUCACCUUUUCUUCUUUUUUUUUUUCUUUUUUUUGUAUGUGUUUGGGGGGAGAUUAUUUUUUGUGUAUCCAUAUCCCCGUCUUAUAACUUGGAUUUUUUUAGACCAUGAAAGAGACUUGACCAGGCAGUUAUAUAUCCAGGCUAGUUCUCUUGUUGUAAAGAAUCUGUGUAUUACUUUGCGGUGGCUACAAUUGUUCUCAUUUCUAUAUUCUUUAUAUGCUUUCCAACAUUAUCAUAUAAUUAGCCCAAUCUUUUAAUUUGUUGUCAACGUAUAAAACAGUCAGUUACCGUAGUUCCUCAGGAAUAUUUCAGUGGAAUAUGAAUUUUCCCACUAUAAGGGCAUUUAGAUGGAGAUACACUUAACUCUAAAGGACUAGCUAUAACGAUUCUGCUACUUCUAAGUUAUACCGAUGCCUAAAUAACUCUUACUAUUUAUCACUAGAAAGCCAACAUUGAUAAGCAUUGUUAAAUAUUGUAUAGCUUAGCUUGGUUUGUAUUUUAAACAGACGUACACAGUUACUGAUAUAUUUUCAGUCUAUGGAGAGUAAUAUUAAUAAAUUGCCACAUUAAACCUUGAUAUUUGUGGUAUCUUUUUUCGUCUAAUCAUCAUUAACUGUUCAUUCAUUGCGUUUGUCUGAUGUAAUUAAUUUUUCGGGUUCCUGAACUGCUUUGUUAUCUGCAUAAGUUGGAUGAAGUUUUGUUUUGUGGGAAAUAAAGUAAAUUACUUCUAGUGCCACUUGGAGGUGUAUUGAAGGGGCCGGUAAAAUGCUGAAAUGUUGAAACUAUCCAAUUACUGAAAAAUUUGUGCCUUCGGCAUUUGACUUUUCUCUCUUUAGUAGAAGAAUUGAAAUUGUAUAAUAUCUGAAACUGCAAGUUCGGGCUUCAUAAAGUCAUAAGGGUUUGAGUUUCAUUUCUCUCCCUGUAGUAACAACUGAAGGCUAUUAGUGGC